rnacentral:rRNA from 1 species
GACAGGCAAUAUAUUAGCAUAAAGACUCGUCUUUAGCGCUAAUUGUUAAAUAUGCUAGUCCUUUCAUGAUUAUGUGAUAGGUGGUGCAUGGCCGUUCUUAGUUCGUGGAGUGAUCUGUCUGCUUAAUUGCGUUUCACUAAGGGCCCAUAAAUUCAAGGUAUGUUAGCAAAUGCUGCUCUAUUGACCCCUAAUAGGCUUAACUGUCUUUAGCGCGUGUCUCUACGAGUUCUUUAAAGCACUGCGCAUGCUGUUGGGUCCUGAAAGCAACGAACGUGACCGCAACGUCUUGUUGCCUCUCUAUAAUACCUUCUUAUUUUUAAUAAGAGUAUUUACCUGAGGCUAUUUUAAAACUAGACGGACCGCUGUUUCUUUCUUAAACCAGAGGAAGGUUGCGGCAAUAACAGGUCUGUGAUGCCCUUAGAUGUUCCG